GAAAUCCUAGAAAGUGGCGAACGGGUGAGUAACGCGUGGGUAACCUGCCCUAUGGAAAGGAAUAGCCUCGGGAAACUGGGAGUAAUGCCUUAUAAUAUACGAGAGUCGCAUGGCUUUUGUAUUAAACGCUCCGGUGCCAUAGGAUGGACCCGCGUCCCAUUAGCUAGUUGGUGAGAUAACAGCCCACCAAGGCGACGAUGGGUAACCGGUCUGAGAGGGCGAACGGUCACACUGGAACUGAGACACGGUCCAGACUCCUACGGGAGGCAGCAGUGGGGAAUAUUGCGCAAUGGGGGCAACCCUGACGCAGCAAUACCGCGUGAGUGAAGAAGGUUUUCGGAUCGUAAAGCUCUGUUAUUGGGGAAGAAAAAAGACGGUACCCAAGAAGAAAGUCCCGGCUAACUACGUGCCAGCAGCCGCGGUAAUACGUAGGGGACAAGCGUUGUCCGGAUUUACUGGGCGUAAAGGGCACGCAGGCGGUUUUUUAAGUCAGAUGUGAAAGGUACCGGCUCAACCGGUGACAUGCA
rnacentral:rRNA from 1 species